rnacentral:rRNA from 1 species
ACGAACGCUGGCGGCGUGCUUCACCCCUGCCCGUCGAACGGAAAGGCCCUGCUUUUGUGGGGUGCUCGAGUGGCGAACGGGUGAGUAACACGUGAGUAACCUGCCCUUGACUUUGGGAUAACUUCAGGAAACUGGGGCUAAUACCGGAUAGGAGCUCCUGCUGCAUGGUGGGGGUUGGAAAGUUUCGGCGGUUGGGGAUGGACUCGCGGCUUAUCAGCUUGUUGGUGGGGUAGUGGCUUACCAAGGCUUUGACGGGUAGCCGGCCUGAGAGGGUGACCGGCCACAUUGGGACUGAGAUACGGCCCAGACUCCUACGGGAGGCAGCAGUGGGGAAUAUUGCACAAUGGGCGGAAGCCUGAUGCAGCAACGCCGCGUGCGGGAUGACGGCCUUCGGAUUGUAAACCGCUUUCGCCUGUGACGAAGCGUGAGUGACGGUAAUGGGUAAAGAAGCACCGGCUAACUACGUG